rnacentral:rRNA from 1 species
AGUGGCGGACGGGUGAGGAACACGUGAGAAUCUGCCUACAGGUUCGGGACAACAGUUGGAAACGACUGCUAAUACCGGAUAAGCCUAUUGGUGAAAGAUUAAUUGCCUGGAGAUGAGCUCGCGUCUGAUUAGCUAGUUGGUGGGGUAAAGGCCUACCAAGGCUGCGAUCAGUAGCUGGUCUGAGAGGAUGAUCAGCCACACUGGGACUGAGACACGGCCCAGACUCCUACGGGAGGCAGCAGUGGGGAAUUUUCCGCAAUGGGCGAAAGCCUGACGGAGCAAGACCGCGUGAGGGAGGAAGGCUCUUGGGUUGUAAACCUCUUUUCUCAGGGAAUAACAAUGAAGGUACCUGAGGAAUAAGCAUCGGCUAACUCCGUGCCAGCAGCCGCGGUAAUACGGAGGAUGCAAGCGUUAUCCGGAAUGAUUGGGCGUAAAGCGUCCGCAGGUGGUGAGCCAAGUCUGUUGUCAAAGCGUUAGGCUUAACCUAAUAAAGGCAGUGGAAACUGGCACACUAGAGUACGGUAGGGGUAGAGGGAAUUCCUGGUGUAGCGGUGAAAUGCGUAGAGAUCAGGAAGAACACCGGUGGCGAAAGCGCUCUGCUGGACCGAAACUGACACUGAGGGACGAAAGCUAGGGGAGCGAAUGGGAUUAGAUACCCCAGUAGUCCUAGCCGUAAACGAUGGAUACUAGGCGUU